UGGGGAAUUUUGGACAAUGGGCGCAAGCCUGAUCCAGCCAUGCCGCGUGCGGGAAGAAGGCCUUCGGGUUGUAAACCGCUUUUGUCAGGGAAGAAAAGGUUCUGGUUAAUACCUGGGACUCAUGACGGUACCUGAAGAAUAAGCACCGGCUAACUACGUGCCAGCAGCCGCGGUAAUACGUAGGGUGCAAGCGUUAAUCGGAAUUACUGGGCGUAAAGCGUGCGCAGGCGGUUAUGCAAGACAGAGGUGAAAUCCCCGGGCUCAACCUGGGAACUGCCUUUGUGACUGCAUAGCUAGCGUACGGUAGAGGGGGAUGGAAUUCCGCGUGUAGCAGUGAAAUGCGUAGAUAUGCGGAGGAACACCGAUGGCGAAGGCAAUCCCCUGGACCUGUACUGACGCUCAUGCACGAAAGCGUGGGGAGCAAACAGG
rnacentral:rRNA from 1 species